CUACCAUGCAAGUCGAGCGAGAUCUUCGGAUCUAGCGGCGGACGGGUGAGUAACGCGUGGGAACGUGCCCUUCUCUACGGAAUAGUCCCGGGAAACUGGGUUUAAUACCGUAUACGCCCUUCGGGGGAAAGAUUUAUCGGAGAAGGAUCGGCCCGCGUUGGAUUAGGUAGUUGGUGGGGUAAUGGCCUACCAAGCCGACGAUCCAUAGCUGGUUUGAGAGGAUGAUCAGCCACACUGGGACUGAGACACGGCCCAGACUCCUACGGGAGGCAGCAGUGGGGAAUCUUAGACAAUGGGCGCAAGCCUGAUCUAGCCAUGCCGCGUGAGUGACGAAGGCCCUAGGGUCGUAAAGCUCUUUCACCAGGGAUGAUAAUGACAGUACCUGGAGAAGAAACCCCGGCUAACUCCGUGCCAGCAGCCGCGGUAAUACGGAGGGGGUUAGCGUUGUUCGGAAUUACUGGGCGUAAAGCGCGCGUAGGCGGGCUGUUAAGUCGGGGGUGAAAUCCCGGGGCUCAACCCCGGAACUGCCCUCGAUACUGGCAGCCUAGAGUUCGAGAGAG
rnacentral:rRNA from 1 species